rnacentral:piRNA from 1 species
UCCCAUAACCUCUUUGUGCCAACUUCUCU